rnacentral:rRNA from 1 species
AUGCAGGACAAAGUCCACUACAAAAGUGGCAUCGUACCAUGGACAGGAGGCUCGCACCGGUUUAAAUGUCGUGGCGAACUCUCGCACCUACAUCGACUACCGCUGUCGUGCCCGAAUUGUCAGCCCGCACUGAUUUACAAAUGCCGCGGCCGACUCUCCCAUCCGCACCGGCUUACAGCACCGCGACCGACUCAUCUGUUUAUGCCGCCUCUGAAGUCGCGGUCGCUUUCGUCGUCCGUCUAUCGCAGCCUGGUCUACAUCAACAUACAGGGCCGCAUAUGUCUGCAUGAGCUGUUUAUUGAGUACGAACAAGUCGCAGCUUGGGUAGCCCGGAUUUCUUUCAACAAACUGGAGGCAAAUUAUCAUAUACUAUCAGUCGCCGUCUGCACUAGAUAG